CCGAAUUAGUCGGGGUGCGCAUUGUCGCUGAGAUGAUACCCGUGAACCUGAAGCAGUUAAUACUGACGUAGGAAACUAACAUGCCAAUCUU
rnacentral:ncRNA from 2 species